rnacentral:lncRNA from 1 species
ACAUACCAGCAGGAAAGAACACUGGAGAGCUUCACUUGACAGAAUUAUUACAAACGCCUCUUCCUGGUUCAGGGGGAAAAAAAAUUCCAAAUAGGUUUGUGAUAUUUUUUUCCCUAGCAUGCUUGCAACUCCCAGUAGAGCCAAUAACCAGUUUUCAAAACCUUUUGAUUCUACUCAUCCCCUGGUUAAUAAUUUCCAGUUUACCCAGCAGGCUACGUAACAUCCCCUUUCCUGGGAAAGAAUUUCUGUGCCCCGGCUGGCAGUGAACUGGUCCCCUUAGCAGCUGACCUCCUCCUCCAGCCCUGUGGCUGCCUCCUCUCCAACAGGGACCCUCCUGGUGAAAGAAAAAGAGACUUGGUAAUUCACUGAGCAUCACCCAAGACCGGGCGCAGACCUACACCCUGGCGUAUAAAAGACGUAGUACUCACGUCAUUCCUGUUUCACAGAUGCACAGACUUACUCUUGGAGAGGCUCCUCCCAAAAGUCACCCAGCUGAUUUUCAUCCACUUGGCUCCCCAAGUUGCUGCUCGACCGCUCUCUGACCUGGAUUCACUGAGGACACAUCAGGCCUUUGCCACGGGCUCCAUGGAGUGGCCGGAGCCCAGGGCUGGAGGAACUCAUGCACAUGUGUCCUGGAGACCUGCAAGAGGACAGCACCAUGGAGAUGACCAGCAACUAAUACCACCCAAAGGUCCACCAACAGGAGAAUGGAUACCCCAGCAGGGGUGCAUGCAUGCAACGGAACACACCACGUACUGGUGAGAGUGAAUCAAUGUCGGUCACACGCAUCAACGCCGAUGAGGCUGAGACUCGUAAUAUCAAAUUUAGAAUUGCAAGUAGCAGAAGGAUCAAAGUUAUAUUUGUAAUAAAGCUUAAACACAAGCAAAUCGAGCACUGUAUUGUUUAGGCACACAUUCACAUUUGGUAAAGACAUAAAGCAAAGCAAGGGAACGAGACAAAAA